AGUAGAAGUAAGAGCAUCUUUGCUAUGGUUAUUUCUGUGAUUAAAGUGUGUUGUGAAAGUAAAAACAAGGAGAAAAACCGGCAUUUGAAUCUGUAUCGCCACAGUUGCUACAUGAUGAAGAAAAUACACAUCUGUUGAAUAUAAUUUAAUAUUUUCUGAUGACCGAGGGUGAUCACUAUGACAGCAACUACAUCCAGGCACUCAGAGGCACAGCUGCUACAGGUCCAAGGGAGCCUGGCUAUUGCUGGAGCUAUUGCUGGAUCUUGAUGUUGUUCAUCUAAUGCUGGUUUCGCAGGCAUGCAGAAUGCAAGAGUUAUGGGGUCACAGAGCCUUCCACCUGGCUACCAUGAGCUUAGCCUACCCAUGACCUCUCUUCCACCAUGACCUCCUCUAGCCCAUGACCUCCUCUUCCCCAAAGAAUUUUAUGGUCGAGUCUUCAUUUUAGAAAUGGAAGUAAACAACAGUUUUUAUCUGUGAAUUUUACAAAUCAUGUUACAAAAACUCUCAGACUGAUAUGUAUUUUGUAGUAAAACUGACUCUCAGUCUUCAUAUAUUUCUAUGUAAUAAACAUAAUAUUUCUAAGAA